AUGGCCAUCUUUGACGAGUUCUACGUUGGGACCAUCGACCUCGGUCGCCUCAACUAUGGGAUCAUCUCGCACAUUCCCAAUGUGCCGGGGGCCUCCGACAUUCGCCAGUUCCGCCCGAUCACGGUGAUCAAUGUGAUCUUCCGGAUUCUGGCAAAGGGGUACGCCAAUAGGGUAACCCUGCUAGCAGACCUCAUUACCCACCCCAACCAGUCCGCCUUCGUGAAAGGGCGGUAUAUCCUGGAUGGGGUAUUAGUUCUCCAUGAGGUGCGGUUUAAACACCUCAAGGCGGUCUUCCUGAAAAUUGACUUUCACAAGGCCUACGACACUGUUAGUUGGUCCUUCCGUCGGGAAGUUUUG
rnacentral:rRNA from 1 species